rnacentral:rRNA from 1 species
UGCCAGACUCCUACGGGAGGCAGCAGUGAGGAAUAUUGGUCAAUGGCCGGAAGGCUGAACCAGCCAAGCCGCGUGAAGGACGAAGGUGCCAAGCAUUGUAAACUUCUUUUGUCAAGGGACAAAAUCAGGCUCGAGAGCCUGACCGAGGGUACUUGAAGAAAAAGCAUCGGCUAACUCCGUGCCAGCAGCCGCGGUAAUACGGAGGGUGCGAGCGUUAAUCGGAAUUACUGGGCGUAAAGCGCUCGUAGGCGGUAUGUCAAGUCAAGGGUGAAAUCCCCGCGCUCAACGUGGGAACUGCCUUUGAAACUGGCAAACUGGAGUGUGUGAGAGGAUAGUGGAAUUCCAGGUGUAGGAGUGAAAUCCGUAGAUAUCUGGAGGAACAUCAGUGGCGAAGGCGACUAUCUGGCACAUAACUGACGCUGAGGAGCGAAAGCGUGGGUAGCAAGCAGGAUUAGAUACCCCUGUA